AAUGGGUCAGCGACUUAUAUUCUGUAGCAAGGUUAACCGAAUAGGGGAGCCGAAGGGAAACCGAGUCUUAACUGGGCGUUAAGUUGCAGGGUAUAGACCCGAAACCCGGUGAUCUAGCCAUGGGCAGGUUGAAGGUUGGGUAACACUAACUGGAGGACCGAACCGACUAAUGUUGAAAAAUUAGCGGAUGACUUGUGGCUGGGGGUGAAAGGCCAAUCAAACCGGGAGAUAGCUGGUUCUCCCCGAAAGCUAUUUAGGUAGCGCCUCGUGAAUUCAUCUCCGGGGGUAGAGCACUGUUUCGGCAAGGGGGUCAUCCCGACUUACCAACCCGAUGCAAACUGCGAAUACCGGAGAAUGUUAUCACGGGAGACACACGGCGGGUGCUAACGUCCGUCGUGAAGAGGGAAACAACCCAGACCGCCAGCUAAGGUCCCAAAGUCAUGGUUAAGUGGGAAACGAUGUGGGAAGGCCCAGACAGCCAGGAUGUUGGCUUAGAAGCAGCCAUCAUUUAAAGAAAGCGUAAUAGCUCACUGGUCGAGUCGGCCUGCGCGGAAGAUGUAACGGGGCUAAACCAUGCACCGAAGCUGCGGCAGCGACACUAUGUGUUGUUGGGUAGGGGAGCGUUCUGUAAGCCUGUGAAGGUGUACUGUGAGGUAUGCUGGAGGUAUCAGAAGUGCGAAUGCUGACAUAAGUAACGAUAAAGCGGGUGAAAAGCCCGCUCGCCGGAAGACCAAGGGUUCCUGUCCAACGUUAAUCGGG
rnacentral:rRNA from 1 species